AUUGAACGCUGGCGGCAUGCCUUACACAUGCAAGUCGAACGGUAGCGCGGACUUCGGUCUGGCGGCGAGGGGCGAACGGGUGAGUAAUGUAUCGGAACGUACCAUUCAGUGGGGGAUAAAGCAGCGAAAGUAGCGCUAAUACCGCAUAUUCUGUGCGAAGGAAAGCAGGGGAUCGCAAGACCUUGCGCGGGUUGAGAGGCCGACAUCAGAUUAGCUAGUGGGUGAGGUAAAGGCGCACCAAGGCGACGAUCUGUAGCGGGUCGGAGAGGAUGACCAGCGACACUGGAACUGAGACACGGUCCAGACGCCUACGGGAGGCAGCGGGGGGGAAUUUUGGACAAUGGGCGCAAGCCUGAUCCAGCCAUGCCGCGUGAGUGAAGAAGGCCUUCGGGUUGUAAAGCUCUUUCGGCCGGGAAGAAAUCGUAUGGGUUAAUACCCUGUGCGGAUGACGGUACCGGCAUAAGAAGCACCGGCUAACUACGUGCCAGCAGCCGCCGUAACAC
rnacentral:rRNA from 1 species